rnacentral:lncRNA from 1 species
CCCUUGCCGGCCACGGCCCCGGGGCCGUUUUCCGAGUGUUCUUCGGGGCCAGCAAGAGUGGGCCUUCCUCCCUCUACUAUGUCACCGUCACCUCCAGAACCGAAGGCUUUGCCAAGGAAGCCCCUUCUCUGCUCUGGCCCCAUCACCAGCCCCGGGUCUUAAGUGGGUCCGGGGUCUCGGGGAGCACCUGCUCUGGCCUCCCCUGGCCUCCCCGACCCCAUCUCCUGACGGCUCCUCUGACGAUGUGUGUGCUGUGGAGACGUAGGCCUCCAGCCUUCCGGUGCAGCUCCAGGGACUCGGGCAGUGGGCCGGUCAGCCGGCCCCGUGGGAAGCGGACAGCCUCAUGGGGGACAGAAACAUUACAGAAACAACGUAAG